rnacentral:rRNA from 1 species
GGCCUACGGGGCGCAGCAGUGGGGGAUAUUGCACAAUGGGGGGAACCCUGAUGCAGCGACGCCGCGUGGGUGAAGAAGCGUUUCGGCGCGUAAAGCCCUGUCAGCAGGGAAGAAGAUGACGGUACCUGACCAAGAAGCCCCGGCUAACUACGUGCCAGCAGCCGCGGUAAUGCGUAGGGGGCAAGCGUUAUCCGGAUUUACUGGGUGUAAAGGGAGCGUAGACGGAGAAGCAAGUCUGAAGUGAAAGCCCGUGGCUUAACCACGGGACUGCUUUGGAAACUGUUUGACUAGAGUGCUGGAGAGGG